rnacentral:rRNA from 1 species
AUUGAACGCUGGCGGCAGGCUUAACACAUGCAAGUCGAACGAGUGGCGGACGGGUGAGUAAUGCUUGGGAAUCUAGCUUAUGGAGGGGGAUAACUACGGGAAACUGUAGCUAAUACCGCGUACCAUAGGAUGAGCCCAAGUGGGAUUAGCUAGUAGGUGGGGUAAAGGCUCACCGAGGCGACGAUCUCUAGCUGGUCUGAGAGGAUGAUCAGCCACACUGGAACUGAGACACGGCCCAGACUCCUACGGGAGGCAGCAGUGGGGAAGAUUGCACAAUGGGCGCAAGCCUGAUGCAGCCAUGCCGCGUGAAUGAAGAAGGCCUUCGGGUUGUAAAGUACUUUCGGUAGCGAGGCGUUAACUACAGAAGAAGCACCGGCUAACUCCGUGCCAGCAGCCGCGGUAAUAC